rnacentral:rRNA from 1 species
AUGCUCAAGUUAAGCGAGCUGCUUGGUGAAACUGCCAUAAGCAACAUGCAUUUGAACUUCAAAAGUGAGAAAAUUUGGGUCAAGCCGGAGGGUCGAAAACAACUGUUACCGGUGUUCCGCAGACUAAGGCUUGUGUAUCUGCUUAACAUUUCCGAAGAAUGUGAUCUGGCUUGGACGAUGUUCAUACUCGAAGGUGCACCCGCCCUUAAGGAACUAUGCGUCAUGGUGCGGGAUCAUUCAUAUGAAGCGGUGACGGCGGAGCGGAGGAAGGUGUAUAGGUUUAGCGAGGAGAAGGGCAAGGGACUGGAGUGGGAACCAUCUGCAUCUGAUUUCAAGCACCAUGAUAUGGCCGUGCUCAAAAUCUAUGGGUUUAAGGCACAAGGCAAAUUCGUGAGCUAUGACAGACGAUUCAGGAAAGCGGCGGUGAAUCCGGAGGACAUACACCUGUAUGAGAAUCCAGCGUGUGACAAGUGCAAGCACGUGGUUCCAAAGGCGUGGACAUGGAAGCAGAGGAUCUCGCUUAGGCCGCGCUUGGUAUGGAUGUAA